rnacentral:rRNA from 1 species
AUUGAACGCUGGCGGCAUGCCUUACACAUGCAAGUCGAACGGGAACAGGUCUUCGGAUGCUGACGAGUGGCGAACGGGUGAGUAAUACAUCGGAACGUGCCUAGUAGUGGGGGAUAACUACUCGAAAGAGUGGCUAAUACCGCAUGAGAUCUACGGAUGAAAGCAGGGGAUCGCAAGACCUUGUGCUACUAGAGCGGCCGAUGGCAGAUUAGGUAGUUGGUGGGAUAAAAGCUUACCAAGCCGACGAUCUGUAGCUGGUCUGAGAGGACGAUCUGCCACACUGGGACUGGGACACGGCCCAGACUCCUACGUGAGGAAGCAGUGGGGAAUUUUGGACAAUGGGCGCGAGCCUGAUCCUGCAAUGCCGCGUGCAGGAUGAAGGCCUUCGGGUUGUAAGCUGCUUUUGUACGGAACGAAAAGCCCCGGGUUAAUACCCUGGGGUCAUGACGGUACCGUAAGAAUAAGCACCGGCUAACUACGUGCCAGCCGCCGCCGUAA